rnacentral:ncRNA from 2 species
AGGAAAAGAAAUCAACCGAGAUUCCCUUAGUAGCGGCGAGCGAACGGGGACCAGCCCUUAAGUAAUUAAUAAGUCAGUCGAAUGCUCUGGAAAGUGCGACGAUAGAAGGUGAUAGUCCUGUAGACGAAGACGAAUUUUUUAUGAAAACGAGUAGGACGGGACACGUGAUAUCCUGUUUGAAGAUGGGGGGACCAUCCUCCAAGGCUAAAUACUACUAAUUGACCGAUAGUGAACCAGUACCGUGAGGGAAUGG